GCUUUCAACAUCCCCGUCUCAGAGGCAAAGACGGUAUCGGCUGAGCCGGUGCUGGACGACCUUGUGAGACUGAAGGC
rnacentral:sRNA from 12 species